rnacentral:rRNA from 1 species
AACGAACGCUGGCGGCAUGCCUAACACAUGCAAGUCGAACGAGACGUUCGGGUCUAGUGGCGCACGGGUGCGUAACGCGUGGGAACCUGCCCUUAGGUUCGCAAUAACUCCCCGAAAGGUGUGCUAAUACCGGAUAAUGUCUUCGGACCAAAGAUUUAUCGCCUUUGGAUGGGGCCGCGUUGGAUUAGCUAGUUGGUAGGGUAAAAGCCUACCAAGGCGACGAUCCAUAGCUGGUCUGAGAGGAUGCUCAGCCAAACUGGGACUGAGGCACGGCCCCGACUCGUACGGGAGGCAGCAGUGGGGAGUAUUGGAGCAUGGGCGAAAGCCUGAUCCAGCACUGCCGCGUGAGUGGUGAAGGGCUUAGGGUUGUAAAGCUCUUUUACCCGGGAUGAUAAUGACGGUACCGGGAGAAUAAGCACCGGCUAACUCCGUG